GUACACCCGCGUAAGCGAUUGAUGCGGUAUCCUUUUGCUUUUUCUGCAAAAGAUUUAGCGGAAAGCGCGACCCAAA
rnacentral:sRNA from 1 species